rnacentral:lncRNA from 1 species
GGGUGAACUUGUGAUGGUUAAUAUUGACUGUCAACUCUAUUGGACUGAAGGAUGCAAAGUAUUGUUCCUGGGUGUGUAUGUGAGGGUGUUGCCAAAGGAGAUUAACAUUUGAGUCAGGGGGCUGGGAAAGGCAGACCCGCCCUUAAACUAGGUGGGCACAAUCUAAUCAGCUGCCAGUGUGGCAAAAAUAAAAAUGAGGCAGAGGAACAUAAAGAGGUGAGACUGGCUUAGCCUCCGAGCCUACAUCUUUCUCCCAUGCUGGAUGGUUCCUGCCCUAGAACAUCGGACUCCAAGUUCUUCAGGUUUGGGACUCAGAAUGGCUUCCUUGCUCCUCAGCUUGCAGACAGCCUAUUGUGGAACCUUGUGAUCCUGUGAGUUAAUACCCCUUAAGAAACUCCCUUAUAUAUAUACAUCUAUCCUAACAGUUCUGCUCCUUUAGAGAACUGUGACUAAUACGAAGGGUGACAAUAGAGGAAUUUAUAUGCUAGACUUUUAUACUUUACCUCAAUUUUCAUUACCUUUUGAAGAAAAAAUGUUUCACAUAAUAAUCACAUAACAAUAAUUUAUUCAAAUUUAUUAAGGCAGGAGCUGGGCCUAAAGAGGGUGCUGAGAGGCAGGAGCUGGGCCUGGAGAGGUCAACUGAAGGAAAUUUUUGGCCUAAGGAGGCUGCCAGGAAGCAGGAGCUGGGCAAAAACAGGUUGUUGUUAGGCAGGAUUUGGGCUCAUAGAGGCAGCCAGGAGGCAGGAACUGGAUCUUUAUAAAAGGGGCAACGUAAGGCAGGAGCAGGGCCUGCAGAGUCUACCAGGAAGCAGGACCAGGGCACAAGAGGCUGACAUGAGGCAGAAAGUUGCCCUUGGGAGGCCACUGUGAGGCAGGACUCUUGAAAGGACGCAAAGCUGGGCCUGUAGUGGCUGCUAAAAGGCAGGAACGUGGUCUGGAAGGCCCUGGUGAGGAAAGAGUUGGGCCAAAAGAGGCCACUAGGAGGCAGGAGCUGGGCCUCAGGAGGCUGCCAUAAAACAGGAGCUGGGACUCGGAAGGCAGACAUGAAGCAAAAGCUGGCCUUUGGAAGGCUGAUGAAAGGGAGAAGCCGGGCCUGGUGAGGUUGACUUGAGAAAGUUUGGGGCCUGGAGAGAUCCAUGGGAGGCAGGAGCCAAACUUGUAGACGCUACUGGAAGGCAGGAGGUGGGCCUGGUGAGGUAAACAUGAGGAAGUUCUAGGCCUGGAGAGACAAGUCGGAGAAAGGAGCUGGGGGUAAAGAGGCUGUUGUAAGGCUUGAGAUAGGCCUGCAGAGGCGGCCUGGAGGCAGGAGCUGGGCCUGGAGAUGCCAAAUUGAGGAAGUUUUAGGCCUGCAGAGGCCGUGAAGAGAAAGGAGCUAAGCCUGGAGAGACCGAUGAAAGGCAGAAGCUGGGGCUAGAGAGGCCAUUGGCAGGCAAAAGCUGGGGCUAGAGAGGCCAUUGGCAGGCAAAAGCUCGGCCUCUGGAGGCCGCAAGGAGACAGGAGCCGGGCCUGGUGAGGUUGACUUAAGGAUGUUUUGGUCCUGGAGAGGCCGGGCCUAAAGAGGCUGUUGAAAGGAUGAUGCCAGGCCUGUAGAGGCCAACAGAAGGCAGGAGCUGGGCCUGAGAAGCCCAAAUUAAGAAAGUUUUAGGCCUGUAAGUUCCCUAAAGAGGCAGGAGCUAGGCAUGCAUGGAGAGGCUGCUGUGAGGCAGAAGCUGGGCCACUAGAGGUUGCCAAGAGGCAGGAGAAUGGCUUGAAGAUGUAGCAGUGAAAAUGAGCUGAGUCUAAAGAGGUCAUUGUUAGGCAGAAGCUGAGAUCCUAGAGGACACUCAGAGGUACAAGUUGGGCCUGGAGAGGUCGACUGGAAAAAAUUAUUGACUUAAAAAGAGCACCAAGGCAGUAGCUGGGCCUGGAGUGGACACAGGAAGGCAGAAGGUGGGACCUGGGAGGCCGCCAUUAAACAGGAGCUGAGUUUAUGAGGCAAAAGCUGGGCCUUAAAAGGCUGACCAGAUGCAGAAGCUAGGCCUGGUGACGAUGACGUGAGAAAGUUCUGGGCCUGAAGGGACAAUGCAAACGUAGGAGCUGGGCCGGCAGGCACAGCUGAGAGGGAGAGUUGGGCCUGGAGAGGCCGGCUGGAAACAGUACUGGGCCUGGAGAGGAUGGUGAGAGGCAAGAGCUUGGCCCAUGGAGGCUGCCAACAGGCAGGGCAGGAGCUUCGGCUGAUGUGGCCACGCUGAGGCAACAGCUGGGACUGGGGGGUUCCACUUUUAGAAGGCAGAGGCCGUGCUUCUAGGGGCCUAUGACAGGCAGGAGCUAGGCCCGGCGAGGCCGACUUCAGGAUACUUUGGGUCUGCACAGGCCAUCAGCGGAGGGCAGGAAUUGGGCCCUGGAUGGGCCAACUUGAGAAAGCCUUGGGCCGGUCGGGGUGGGCGGGAGCUGGGCCUUGAGAGACCACCGUCAGGCGUGAGCUGGGCCUAGAGACCCCAGUGUGAGGCAGGCGCCGGGCUUUUUGAGGCCGCCGAGAGGCUGGCAGGAAUACAGCCGGGGAAGGCCGCCGUGAGGCAAGAGCUGGGCCUGGGAAGGCCGCUGCGAGGCCACAGGUGGGCCUGAAGAGCUGUGCUGGAGGAGGUUUCGGGCCUACAAAGGCCGCCAGGAGCUGGGCACGAACCGAGUCAAAAGCGGCUGUCUGCAGGCAGGGGCUGGGCCUGGAGGUACAGCCGCGAGAGUGUGCUGGGCCUGGAGAGUAGGCCGGGAGACAGCCACCAGGACAGGGGAGGCUUGCCAAUUUGGGCCUGGAGAGGCCGCCACGAAGGAAAAGCUGGGCCUUUGAAAGAGGCCAUUGUGAGGGACGAGCCGGGCCUAAAGAGGCCGUCAGGACGCAGGAGCCGGACCUGCGGAAGCCGCCGAAAGGCAGGAGCCUGGCCUGGGGGAGGCUGCAGUGAGGCAUGAGAUGAGCCUAAAGAGGCCAUCAGGAGGCAGGAGCUGGGUCUUUCGGGGCUGCCGCGAGGCAGGGGGAAAUGUGUCCCGGGGAGGCCGACGCGAGACAAGAGCUGGGCCCGGAGAGGCCGCUGUCAGGCAGGAGCUGGGCCUCUCCAGGCCGCCAGGGAGCUGAAGGCAGGGCCUGGAAGGCCUGACUUAGAGGAGCCUGGGGCCUACAAAUGCUGCCAUGAGCUGGGCAGGAGUUGGGCCGAACGUGCCUGUUGCGAGGCAGGAGCUGGGCCGGCAGCCACAGCCGGGAGGGAGAGCUGGGCCUGGAGAGGCCGGCUGGAAACAGUUCUGGACCUGGAGAGGAUGGCGAGAGGCAAGAGCUGGGCCUGUGGAGGCUGCCAACAGGCAAGGCAGGAGCUUGGCCUGAGGUGGCCAUGCUGAAGCAAGAGCUGGGUCUGGGGGGGUCCACUGUGAGGAGGCAGAGGCCAUGCCUCUAGGCGCCUACGACAGGCAGGAGCUGGGCCUGGCGAGGCCGACUUCAGGACGCUUUGGGCCCACACGGGCCAUCGGCGGGAGGCAGGAACUUGGCCUGGAAGGGCCAUCUUGAGAACGCCUUGAGCCGCGAGACGCUGUUGGGGUGGGCGGGAGCUGGGCCUGGAGACGCCACUGUGACGCCUGAGCUGGGCCUAGAGAGGCCAGUGUGAGGCGGGAGCUGGGCUUGUUGAGGCUACCGCGAGGCCGGCUAGAAAAUGGCCGGGGAAGGCCGCUGUGAGGCAAAAGCUGGGCCUGGGAAGGCCGCUGUGAGGGGAGACUGGGUAUGGAGUGCUGGACUGGAAGAGAUUUCAGGCCUACAAAGGCUGCCAGGAGCUGGGUAGGAGCCGAGUCAAAAGAGGCUCUUUGGAGGCAGGAGCUGGGCCUGUAGACACAGCUGCGAGAGAGGACUGGGACUGGAGAAGAGGCCGGGAGGCAGCAACUGCGGUGGGGGAGGCCGACUUGAGGAAUUUCUCGGCCUGGAGAGGCCACCAAAAGGGAAAAGCUGGGCCUAAGGUGGCCGUUGUGAGAAAUGAGCUGGGCCUAAAGAGGCCAUCAGGAUGAUCAGGACGCAGAGCUCGGCCUCUGCUGCAGAGGCUGCUGAAACGCAGCAGCUUGGUUUGGCGAGGCCACGGUGAAGCAUGAGAUGAGCCUAAAGAGGUCACUGGAAGGCAGUAGCUGGACCUGUCAGGACAUGACGCUCAGGUGGUUAUGCGAGCGAUGGGGAGGGGCUAUAAAUACAAACGAAUUUUCCCCUCACUUUGCUGCUCACCACCAGCUCUGUGGCCCUGUGGUGGAGACCCCUGCUCAGGUGCAUUUGAAAGGUUCCGUCCCAUGCCAUUCUUCAGAGUCAUCUUUAUUGCCACAGUGGUGAAGCAUAGCAUCCGUUAACUCGCAUGGCAUAUGCCUUGGCUAGCAUUUCAUCACAAUAAACAGUAAGUGGUAGCUUCACUCAUUGUGAGGACACUUCCUGGAAAUCACCAGCAUCCCAUGUCCCAUUGGCAAGAAACUCAGCACUGCUCCUUGGAUAACCAAACCAAGGCUGAAAUCCCAUGUAUAUGUGUCUAUCUCCUGGUACUCUUCCUAGCAUCAAUUCUGUAUUUCUAGGAGUCCAAUCAAAACAUAUAAACCGCUCAAAAGUUUAAACUGGAAUGCGCACGGUGGCUCAAACCUGUAAUCCCAGCGCUUUGGGAGGCCAAGGCGGGUGGAUUACUUUGAGCUCAGGAGUUGAGACCAGCCUGGGAAACACGGCAAAACCCUGUCUCUACAAAAAGCACAAAAAAAGCACAAAAAUUAGCCAGGCAUGCUGGCACAUACCUGUAAUCCCAGUUACUUGGGAGGCUGAGGAUGGAGAAUUGCUUGAGCCUUCGAAGUGGAGGUUGCUGUGAGCAGAGAUCAUGCCUCUGCACUCCAGCCUUGGUGACAGACUGAGACCCAAUACCAAAAAAAAAAAAAGUAACUUUAAUAUAAAAAAUAUUAAUUAUAACAGAGGAUCAGCAUAAUGAGUGACACACUAGCACUAACUACAGACAAUUCUAGAGAAUACAAAACUAGCAGAGGCCAGGCAUGGUGGCUCAUGCCUGUAAUCCCAGCAAUUUGGGAAGCCUAGGUAGAAGGACUGCUUGAGGCCAAAAGUUGGAGACCAGGCUGGGCAACUUAGUGAGACACUGUGUCUACCAAAAAAAAAAAAAAAUUAGCCAGGUAUGGUGGUGGUGCACAACUGUAGUUCCAGCUACUUGGGAGUCUGGGGUCGGAAGAUCCCUUGAACCUGGGAAGUCUAGGCUGUAGUGAACCAAGAUCAUGCCAGUACACUCUCGCCUGAGCAGCAGAGUGAGACCCUGUCUUAGGGAAGGGGAGGGGAAGGGAGGAGAGGGGAGGGGAGAGGAGGGGAGAGGAAUGCUAAUCCCCCUAUAAGAAUCUCCUCUUCUCCUGCCCUCUCUGGAACCUCACUUGUCAGUUCUUCCUCCCACUUCCCUGUAUGUUUAACCUGUCCCCUGCUUUUAGCUCCUUCCCACCAGCAUUUAAAUUACUCAAACUUCUGCUAUUUUAAAAAACUCUCCCUAAACUCAGUGUGUUCCCUGCUUUAGGUCUCCAGCACACCCACUGAGCCAUCUGCUCCCCCUGGUGCCUUCUCCACACAGCAGCGUGAGCCAUGUCUCUCAUACGUGAAUCUCAUCACAUUACUCCCCUGUUUACAUCACUUCUCCUUGCCUUUGGGAUUAAGUCCAAACUCCUUAACAGGCCCUGCUCUGCCCUGUCUUGCAAGGCAGCCUCACUGCUUGCCCCUCUCCAUUUUACCUGCUGUGGAGUCCAACUGAGCCUCAUCUGUCCCUUGAAUGCCCACUCUCUCUCUCUGCGAGCCUGCGAAGUGGGUGAUGCCCUCUGCUUAGAAUACGCUUCCCCUUAUCUACUCUCUUCCUGGCUAGCUUCAGCUCCUCUGUCACUUGUCCGCUUUAGCACCACCUCCUCCAGGAAGUCUUCCUUGACUCCCUAGAUUCUCAGGAGCAUGGGAAGCGAGGUGCUCCUCCCAUAAAUGAAUGGAGAUUAGGGAGUGUGUGUUAUUCAUGUUUAAUUCACCAGUGCUUACCUCAGUACCUGGCACAAAAUAGUCAUGGUGGUGGCCAAAGUAUCACAGUGGUGGCCAAAGUAAUGACCCCCCAACUGCUCAUGUCCUAUGUUACACCGCAUAAUUACAUAGGAAGGGGGAAUUAAGAGUACAGAUGGAAUUAAUGUUGCUAAUCAGCUGACCUUAAAACAAGAUUAUCCUGCAGUAUCUGGGUGAGCCCAUGUAAUUACAAGGGUUCUUUAAAUGUGGAAGAGGGAGGCAGAAGGUUAAGAACCAGAGACAUUGGGCAUAAUGGCUCAUGCCUGCAUUACCAGUACUUUGGGAGGCCAACACAGGAAAAUCCCUUGAGUGCAGGAGUUCAAGGCCAGCCUUGGCAACAUAGCAAGGCCCAUCUCUACAAAAAAAAAAAAAAAAGUCAAAAUUCACCGAGUGUCAUGGCACCAACCUGUAGUCCCAGCUACUGGGAAGGAUGAAGUGGGAGGAUUGCUUGAGCCUGGAAAUCUGAGGUUACAAUGAGCCAUGAUUGGACUACUGAACUCCAUCCUGGGUGACAGAGCAAGGUCCUGCUUCUAA